rnacentral:rRNA from 1 species
AGAGUUUGAUUAUGGCUCAGGAUGAACGCUGGCGGCGUGCCUAAUACAUGCAAGUCGAGCGAACCACUUCGGUGGGAAGCGGCGAACGGGUGAGUAACACGUAGGUGAUCUGCCCAUCAGACGGGGACAACGAUUGGAAACGAUCGCUAAUACCGGAUAGGACGAAAGUUUAAAGAUGCUCCUGGCAUCACUGAUGGAUGAGCCUGCGGCGCAUUAGCUAGUUGGUGGGGUAAAGGCCUACCAAGGCGACGAUGCGUAGCCGACCUGAGAGGGUGAACGGCCACACUGGGACUGAGACACGGCCCAGACUCCUACGGGAGGCAGCAGUAGGGAAUCUUCGGCAAUGGGCGAAAGCCUGACCGAGCAACGCCGCGUGAAUGAAGAAGGCCUUCGGGUUGUAAAAUUCUGUUAUAAGGGAAGAAAGGUGAUAGGAGGAAAUGACUAUCAAUUGACGGUACCUUAUGAGAAAGCCACGGCUAACUACGUGCCAGCAGCCGCGGUAAUACGUAGGUGGCAAGCGUUAUCCGGAAUUAUUGGGCGUAAAGAGCGCGCAGGUGGUUAAUUAAGUCUGAUGUGAAAGCC